rnacentral:rRNA from 1 species
CGGGUUGAAGCAUGACCGUAAGGACAUGUGGACAGUAUGGGAGUGAGAAUGUUGGCAUGAGUAGCGAGAUGUGGGUGAGAAUCCCACAGGCCGUAAACCCAAGGUUUCCAGGGGAAGGUUCGUCCGCACUGGGUUAGUCGGGACCUAAGCUGAGGCCGAAAGGCGUAGGUGAUGGACAACAGGUUGAUAUUCCUGUACUACCGAUAACCGUUUGAGAGA